CCAGAAUGUAGCUCACCCUCUUGACACUUUGUUUAGGUACUUUUUGCUUUGCACCUAAAACCGUCCACAAGUUGAGCAGCAAGGAAAAUAUUAAGGACACAGGGUAUAGGAGGUGUCAAUUAGGAAAUAACAUUCAGUCUUGUUUGUAAACUGAUUCUCGCUGACAUGUUUGUUGACUGGUUAAUCAGUAACUUUGGUUCUAGAACAAAAUAACGUUCAUAGCACAAUUUAUCUUGUCUACACUGGGUAAACGAAACAGUUUUCUAAAUAUUAAUUUAAAACAUUCUUUUAGCUAUGCAAUAUGAAUAGUCUAUGUAGCAUUUUCUUGUUUGUAAAGGAGGACAUUGCAAAAAUUGAUCACACUUAGAAGGCAAAAGUGUUUUUCAACCAACACCCGUCAAUUAAGCAGGUCAGUGCCAGCGAGGGCGUCGGUAAUUUGAUUAAAAAUUUAUAAAUGUUAUAUAUCUUAUAUUCAUGCAUAAAUGUAUAAACAGGCACAGAUUCAGAGGAAAUACAGAUCUUAGGUAAGCCCCGUAACAUGCUUUGGUUUCCGGUUUUUGUUGAAAUCUCCGAACAGACCUGUCGAUAGGAAAAUGUCGAGGUGAUGUGCCGUUUGCUCUCUAUAAAGACCGAUGACCUCAGUGUAUAGCUAUUAAUAGAGGUAGGCCUACAUAUGAUAGAUAGAGUCAGCGUAUAGAGCCAUUGUAUUGUACCAGUUUAGGUUGGAAGUGCCUAAGUGUUUGACCCUCUGUGUGUUGUCUUUGGACUAUCUUGUGCGCUAACAAACAGUACAGUGACUGGCUCAGUCACUACAAUAGGUGCUGACGCGCUGACUCGAUUUGUGAAUGGACGCGCUGGUGUGUGUGUGCGCGCGCGCGAGCCUUGGUAAUCGUAGAGCUUGCAGUCUGAUGUAAAGUAUACCCCCCAACUCUCUCACUGUCUCCCUCUCUCACCGUCUUGCUCUCAAAGACACACAAACAGUCAUACACGGUCAGUCAAAGCACGCCUGCGAUAUGAGUCCUGACACCAUGCAGGACAGGAUCCAACCCUGCCGACCACCACUCUAGGAUCUGCAAUGCACAAUGCCAGUUAUUUCUGAUGUUACACACAAAUAUCUUUUUUUCUUCCCAAAGAUUUGUAAAGCUCUUUAUAUGAUACUUUGGUCCAGUAUUGAUCUAAAUGCCUGACUGAUGCUUCUUGUUUUAAAUCCAGACCCCUCCAUCAAAGCCAGGGAACUGUUGGGGUCCGGAUCCUAGCAGAGUAGACACUUUGAAAACGCAGGGAGGAUAGAGUUGAUAGGUUUUAAUGCUUUUAAUUCUAAAGCGUCUGAUCGUCCUGGCGUAAAUAAGUCUCCUUUCAGUCGACACAGUCUCGCUGUCCCUGACCCACCGUGCAUGUGGCGUCCUCCGCAAACCUAAUUAAGGCUCUUUAGAUGGGAGCAAGUUAAUUGAAUGCUGCUCCCAUCUUGAGACCCUUUUUGGAGAAAAUGGCUUCAUUGACAGCCAAAGCUUUAGCCUUGUAUCUCUCUCCAGUCAUCCCACCUUGAAGAUUUCAGUGUAUCGAAGAGACAAAACUGUAUUGCUUAUGGACAUUUUUUCCCCCAACUAACGUUUAAAAAAAAAAAAAAAAAAACCUUGACGCUGCUUUUAGACGUGUGAUGUCGGUUGGCUUUUCAAAUGCAAGAAAGUGCCACAGGUGCAUUUUCACUUUCACAGAUACCAAGCAUUUUCUCUCCGUGAAAACUCGCAUUUACAGUGCCUCUCAAACGUGUCAGCCCACAUUAUAUUUAAUUAACAACACGGAUCAAACGCAUUUUCUCAAAAUGGUUUGUGCCCAGUUGUCAGAAACUUUUACGAAAGUGAAAAAAACCCGUCUACAUUGUUAGGAAUUGUUAUAAAUAUAAUUUCUUCAUGUUUGAUCCGGAAUAAGUUGUACUUACAUAAAUUAAUUCACUUAAUAAAAAACUAGAAUUAUUGAAUAAUAUAAAAAAAGUGUUUUAAUUUGGUAAAAAUAUGUAUGCGCAAUAUUAUGCAUUAUGCUAUUUGUAUUUUAUUUUGUU
ensembl:lncRNA